rnacentral:rRNA from 1 species
CCUACGGGUGGCAGCAGUAGGGAAUUUUGCGCAAUGGACGAAACCCUGACGCAGCAACGCCGCGUGAUCGAUGACGCCCUUCGGGGUGGAAAGAUGUGUCAGUGGGGACGAAAACUGACGGUACCCACAGAGGAAGAACCGGCUAACUCCGUGCCAGCAGCCGCGGUAAUACGGGGGGUGCAAGCGUUGUCCGGAUUCAUUGGGUGUAAAGAGUUCGUAGGUGGCACGUUAAGUCUGGUGUUAAAGGCGGAGGCUCAACUUCCGUAGGGCACUGGAUACUGGAGAGCUUGAAUGCGGUAGAGGUAGGGGGAAUGCAUGGUGUAGCGGUGAAAUGCGUAGAGAUC